rnacentral:rRNA from 1 species
UACGGGGGGGGCAAGCGUUGUUCGGAAUUACUGGGCGUAAAGGGCUCGUAGGCGGCCAACUAAGUCGGACGUGAAAUCCCUCGGCUCAACCGGGGAACUGCGUCCGAUACUGGAUGGAUUGAGUUCGGGAGAGGGAUGCGGAAUUCCAGGUGUAGCGGUGAAAUGCGUAGAUAUCUGGAGGAACACCGGUGGCGAAGGCGGCAUCCUGGACCGACACUGACGCUGAGGAGCGAAAGCCAGGGGAGCAAACGGG